ACGGGAGGCAGCAGUGAGGAAUAUUGGUCAAUGGGCGAGAGCCUGAACCAGCCAAGUAGCGUGCAGGAUGACGGCCCUCCGGGUUGUAAACUGCUUUUAGUUGGGAAUAAAAGGGAGUACGCGUACUCCAUAUUGUAUGUACCAUCAGAAAAAGGACCGGCUAAUUCCGUGCCAGCAGCCGCGGUAAUACGGAAGGUCCGGGCGUUAUCCAGAUUUAUUGGGUUUAAAGGGAGCGUAGGCGGGCUUUUAAGUCAGCGGUCAAAUGUCAGCGCCCAACGCUGGCCUGCCGUUGAUACUGAUGGGCUUGAAUACACACAAGGAAGGUGGAAUUCGUCGUGUAGCGGUGAAAUGCUUAGAUAUGACGAAGAACUCCGAUUGCGAAGGCAGCCUUCUGGAGUGCGAUUGACGCUGAGGCUCGAAAGCGCGGGUAUCAAACAGGAUUAGAUACCCUGGUA
rnacentral:rRNA from 1 species